UAUUUCAAGCAGCUGGGAUACCUGUGUCACUCCUGCUGUCUGCCAGUGACUGCCCAGGUGUCUGCUGGUUCCUCCCCAGGAGUAGGGAGGAACCAGGUGGGCUGGCUGGGAUGGGUGGAUAUUUAAAGACCAGGCCUUGGACGCUGCAGCACUUCUAUCUCUGCUUGAUGCCUGCUGCCACGUGGCUGGUCCUCCUCCUCCUGCUGUGGCUGAGCCUUGGGGUGAAGACAGGCAGCUGCUCCCAACCCCAGAACCUUUGCUGUCUUGGGACGGAUCACCACUGCAAGAGGGGAAGUUGCUACUGUGAUGAAUUCUGCCAUGUGGCACCAGACUGCCACCCAGACCACAGUGUCCUCUGCAACCCUGGUAACUCACAUACAGGCCCGAUUCCACCGACAGCAAAGCUGGAUGCUAUGGCUGGCAGAGGCAAACCCUUUGCCUGCACUUCAGGCCAAAGCCGGGAUGUGGCCUAGAUGGUUCCUAAGGUCCCUGACAAUCCUGAGAUCUUGCAUCUUGUCUAUUUCAGGUCAAAGCUUCUCAGAUGACCAAGAUGGUGCUGCAGAUGGUGCUGAGGAUGGAGAACCCACCAAGCCCGCUGGAGUGCAGUGGCGUGAUCUCAGCUCACUGCAAGCUCCACCUCUUGGGUUCACGUGAUUCUCCUGCCUCAGCCUCCUGAGUAUCUGGGACUACAG
rnacentral:misc_RNA from 1 species